rnacentral:rRNA from 1 species
GACGUAGGGGGCCAGCGUUUGUUCGGAAUUACUGGGUGUAAAGGGUUCGUAGGCGGUGUGGCAAGUCGGGAGUGAAAUCUCUGGGCUCAACCCAGAGUCUGCUUCCGAAACUGCUGUGCUUGAGUGUGGGAGAGGCGCGUGGAAUUGCAGGUGUAGCGGUGAAAUGCGUAGAUAUCUGCAGGAACACCCGUGGCGAAAGCGGCGCGCUGGACCACUACUGACGCUGAGGAACGAAAGCUAGGGGAGCAAACAGG